rnacentral:rRNA from 1 species
ACUCAAAGGAAUUGACGGGGACCCGCACAAGCAGAGGAGCAUGUGGUUUAAUUCGAAGAUACGCGAAAAACCUUACCAGGACUUGACAUGCCAAGCAUAGCCAUGAAAGUGGUGAAGAAUUAGCAAUAAUUAUUGGACACAGAUGGUGCAUGGUUGUCGUCAGCUCGUGUCGUGAGAUGUUCGGUUAAGUCCGUCAACGAGCGCAACCCCUGUUGUUAGUUGCCAUCAUUAAGUUGGGCACUCUAGCAAGACUGCCGUAGUUAAUACGGAGGAAGGUGGGGAUGACGUCAAAUCAUCAUGCCUCUUACGUCCUGGGCUACACACGUGCUACAAUGGUGACUACAAACAGUUUCGAUAUGGUAACAUGGAGGCAAUCUGAAAAAAGUCAUCUCAAUUCGGAUUGUGGGCUGCAACUCGCCCACAUGAAGUCGGAUUUGCUAGUAAUCCCGAAUCAGAACGUCGGGGUGAAUGCGUUCCCGGGUCUUGUACACACCGCCCGU